AAUAAAUUCAGUAAGAGAGAGAAACGAAAAAAGGUCCGUUUUUUCAUUUUCUGAGACCGGAAGUGGUCAUCAGCAAGCGUGGAGCCAAACAGAGUACGGUGCAUAGACUGGAUAGAAUUUUUUUUGUUAGUUUUCAUGGUCAAAAUGAGACAUCAGGUGGCCGAUCUUAAAAUAAAUCAAUAUUGAUUUUUAUAGAGCGUUAAAGUUUUGCGAAGCCAGGGGGCGGGACUACUUGAUUGACAGUCUGGUCUGGAAUGAUUGACAGGAUCCUAUGAAGGAGGCAGCAGGGACUCUGUUCUCCUCGUUUGGAUUAAUUCUGAUAUAAUAACUGUUGGUUUAUUUAUCGGUGCAGCAGCAGAACCUUUUCCACAGACAGUUUUCCUGCCUGUUGGCUUGUUUUAACCAGUUUUCGACCUUCAGCUGAUUCUACCAGCAGACACUGAAAGGACUCUUGAUUGUUCGGUCCCUCUCUAUCUCCCCACACAUCCACCAACCACUGGAACACAUCUCCAAAGUUCUGCUGGACCAGCUCAGCUUCCCCUCAGAAGAAGUGCCGCCACCUGCCAGAUGAAGGAGCCUUUUGAGAGGCAGCUGGCAUCGUGAUUGGACUGUACUUUGGUCUGUUCCAAUCCAGCUUCAGCUCCAGAGACGGCAGGCGGGACGAGUCAACGGAGGCCUGGUGGAUGAAGGCAUGUAGCUGAGUACAAUCCAGAAAACAACAGAGGAGGAGUGCAGCAGCCAGAACAAGCAGAGUAGCAUCACCAAAGAACUACAGACUCUUCACAACCUGCUCAAACUCUUGGUACAGGACCUCACCACA
ensembl:lncRNA